GCGGUCGUGGUGAAGCGGUUAACACACCGGGUUGUGGUCCCGGCACGCGCGGGUUCAAAUCCCGUCGGUCGCCCCA
rnacentral:tRNA from 1 species